GACGUAGGGCGCGAGCGUUGUCCGGAUUUAUUGGGCGUAAAGAGCUCGUAGGCGGCUUGUCGCGUCGUUCGUGAAAACCCGGGGCUCAACCUCGGGCCUGCAGCCGAUACGGGCAGACUAGAGUUCGGCAGGGGAGACUGGAAUUCCUGGUGUAGCGGUGAAAUGCGCAGAUAUCAGGAGGAACACCGGUGGCGAAGGCGGGUCUCUGGGCCGAUACUGACGCUGAGGAGCGAAAGCGUGGGGAGCGAACAGG
rnacentral:rRNA from 1 species